CAACUGUCCAAUUUUGGGACUCAAAAAGAGAUUCAGAAGUACUUCAAGUGAUACACUCACACCUCCACAGAAGGAUGACACAACGUUAAAACAGUCCAAAGACAUCAUCAGACAGCUGGCCACCCAGCUUGACAGAGUCACAAAGUAUCAGUUGCGUCACCUUGAACACAGUAUGGAGGAAGACAUAUUGAGUCUGGAGGAGUGUCAACAUUUCCUUUUGCAGUGGGCUGAGGAGCUGAAGCAUUCACCACAGAGACUAAAUUUAGAUACAGCACAGAGUAAAGAGAAGAUCCCAGAGACCAGGGAAAGGUUAAUAAUGGCCCAGAUGACCAUGUCUGAGUGGACCUCAAGCCUUCAGUCUCUACCAAAGGAUUCAAUACAUCCAGGAGAGGAUGUGUGCACAACUCUUCAGGACCUAGCACGUCAAUGGAAGAUGGGAACGCUGGCCAACAUGCUCCCUGUCAUGGAUUUCCUUAUGAGGAAUUGGAUUGGACUUUAAAAGGUCAAAUGGUUAAACAUUAAAUAACAUAUCUGACUUGCUCAACUUAUGUUGUUUUUUUAUAAGUUGGAAAAACUGAAUUUGCAAA